rnacentral:tRNA from 1 species
GGACAGGUAGGGAAAUUGGUUAAACCCGUACUCGAAAGAGCUUGAUUGUUCGAAUCCAUCCCUGUCCACCA